CCUGCCCUUGUACUCUAUAGUAGUGGAAUCACCAAGCCUGUACCCAGCGUCUGACAUCUUAGACUCAACAUCAUAUCUGUGAGAAGCUCUGUGUUUCUAUAUUCCCACUCUUUGCCAUACACAGUUGUGCUGCCUACAUUACACACUUUCCUUACCGUCCAUUACUGAUAUGAAAUGUCUCCCAAGAGUUCAUAUGCUGACAGAAAAUGCAAGCUCCCAGUAAAGCUGUUGAAUUGAGAAUGUGAAUCAUUCCAUGGCAGCAGAAGGAAGGGCGGCAAAUGAUGUCUGCAAAGUAGACACGGAUUUUGUUUUGGAUCCAAGAAAUCACUGAAAAGGUCACGAAAUAAUUGCCACUCAUUAAAAGCCACUUUUUAAAAA